UCACUCGAUUCCUUCAAAGACGUGGAUUCAUUCAGUAACGAAACACCGCUGUGUUGCUCGGAGACACAAAACACUUCUGCUGUGGCUUUGAUUGAACUAUUUUUAUCAGCGAAAUUGAGCGAAAACAGUCAAUAUUGUGUCUAAACUUUACGUCCCAGAGCUGCAAGAGGGCGACAUUUACCAGCACUGCCCUUUCAUAGACCCUCAGACUGACCCAUAGAGUGGAUGCUUGUGGAGAUAAAGAGAAACAGCACCCCCUAUUGAGGGACCUCUGGUAACUCCGGUCGAGUUUGCAAGGAAUGACCCAUAGCUGUAUCUCAGCAAGUAUCACAUGAGUUAAUGUAGCUGGAGACGAGGACACGAUAUGUUUUAAGCACCACUGCAGAACAGUGAGAGUCAGAAUAACAACAAAAAAAAAUCUUACCUUUUAUACAGGCGAGGAGCUGAGAUUAGGAGCACUCUCUUAAAGGGAGAGUUACCUGUAUAAAAGACACCUGUCCACAGAAGCAGUCAAUCAAUCUCUCCACCAAGACCAAAGAGCUGUCCAAGGAUGUCUGGGACAAGAUUGUAGACCUACACAAGGCUGGAAUGGGCUACAAGACCAUCACCAAGCAGCUCGGUGAGGAGGUGACAACAGUUGGUGCGAUUAUUCGCAAAUGGAAGAAACAAAAAAUAACGGUCAGUCUCCCUCGGACUGGGGCUCCAUGCAAGAUCUCACCUCGUGGAGAUUCAGUGAUCAUGACAUCGGUGAGGAAUCAGCCCAGAACUACACGGGAGGAUCUCAUCAAUGAUCUCAAGGCAGCUGGGACCAUAGGCACCAAGAAAACAAUUGGUCCUGGAGUGGCCUAACCAGUGUCUGGGAGGGAGCUGAAGGUUCGAGUUGGCAAACGUCAGCCUCGAAACCUUAAUGACUUGGAGAGGAUCUGCAGAGAGGAGUGGGACAGAAUCCCUCCUGAGAUGUGUGCAAACCUGGUGACCAACUACAAGAAACCUCUGACCUCUGUGAUUGCCAACAAGGGUUUUGCCACCAAGUACUAAGUCAUGUUUUGCGAAGGGGUCAAAUACUUAUUUGACUCAUUAAAAUGCAAAUCAAUUCAUAACUUUUUUGAAAUGCGUUUUUCAGGAUUUUUUUGUUGUUGUUCUGUCUCUCACUGUUCAAAUAAACCUUGUAGACCGAUCAUUUCUUUGUCAGUGGGAAAAUGUACAAAAUCAGCAGGGGAUCAAACAAUUUUUUCCCCACUGUACUAACAAUGUGCAAAUUAAAGAACACAGAUGCAACAUCUCAUAACGACCAACGCAAUAUACCGCAGCGCAAAUUAGCGUAGUCACAAAUAAAGAAAUAAAGAAGCCAGUACAAAAAGAACCGGAAGCCAGAAAAUGAAGGUUUGCUAGAGCUGGUAUUGCGUAACUAGUUGAGGGUUCCAAGUCCAAAUUUCCUGAAGCAAAUUAAAAGUGUGAAAAAAAUCCUCUCCCUUCUACACGCGCUCUCUGUGCUCUGUGCCUCCUCCAGCAACAACGAUGCAGCCUUUUCAAGUGCAAAACAGUUUAAGACAUGCUUUUUUGGGUCAUUAAAUAAUGGCGCAAAUACCAGUAAUUUGAUGACCGCAAACAUUAGUAAAUUUCAUUGCGUGAUUCUUUUGAAUACUCUCCUCCCAUAAAUUUUGCAUCUAAAAAGGAAACUCCUACAAAUGCAUAUUCAAAAAGGCCAGGUGCAAAAAUAACUGUGUCCACGCCUUUUCAGCGCUAAUUCUUCACUGCACGCCUUUAGUAAAUUCUGACAGUGCUAUUUUAACACCAAAAGAUGGUUUGCGCUGGCGCACGCGUGAUGAGCGCUCCUUAACUAAAAACUGUUUGUGAGACUCUGCAAAUUGGACAACGAUAACCUAAUUGUAAAGUUGUGGUUGUAUUAAAGGUUUGAUUUUAAAUGAAUAUUUGAUAACACUUUAGAUUAGAGAAGUGUUUUCCCUCAAUAAACUCUUAAUGCUUAUUGAUAGAAGGUAGUUUUAGUAGUUCAGUUUAGGUAUGGGGUGGAUUAAAAUAUACUCGUGCAGAAUAAGGCAUUAAUAUAUACUUUAUAAAUACUAAUACACAGCCAAUACGCUAGUAAUAUGCAUAACUAGUUAAUAGUGAAUAGUGCUCCCUAAAGUAAAGUGCUACUGAAUCUCUCUCUCUGUC